GUGGACAACAAGUACAUCCUUACUCAGAACCCCUGUCAGACACUGUGGUGGACUGCUGGAGACUCAUAGAGAGCAGGGACAUCAGUCUGGUGGUGACAUUCCCCGAUGAGGGAAAUGAACAGGACGGUCGAAUGUUUCCUACUACGGGGUCACUCACUGUGGGCCCUUUUAACAUCAUGUUCAUCACGGAACAUCACGAAGAGGACUAUUUUGUUUCGAGAGUCUUCAAAGUUCAAUACAUGAAAAAGGAGAGGACGGUAACUCAGCUGCUGUACCAGAAGUGGCCCAGGCGCCAGAUGGCACCGCCAAAUGUCGGUGAAUUCUGAUAUUAAUGGACGCUGUGGAGAAGAGGACAAAAUCUUCAACAGCGUUGAUACAGUGCUUAGAUGGUGCUACAAGAAGCGGCCUGCUGCUGGUACUGUUUUACGCCACGGAAUGCAUGUCCAAGGAUGGGGAAGUGUCGCUGCCUAUGGUCAUCAGGCAUCUUAGAACGAGGCGUCCGCAGCUCAUACCGAACUUUGAACAGUAUCGGUUUUGCUACAGCUUGCUGACACAGUAUGUAGAAUCCAAUGUGAUGUACGCCAACACAUAGCGUCAAGAGAGAAUUGAUAUAUGGGUUGUUCCUACUGACAUCUGGAAGUCGCGGUGUAUGACUUGAUGCACAUAUUAGAACGUGACAUAUGGCAAUGCGUGCGCUAGAUGUAGAUGUUCAUGAAUAUUGCAAGUUUGCACUUAUUACGAUAGAAAUGACUCGCAUGUAGCCACAUUAUCCAACAAGAUCGAAUAAUAAUAGAUAAAACUUUUUAAAAAUACUUUUCAAAGCGUGGA